rnacentral:misc_RNA from 1 species
AACACCUCAAAACUCUUGAUCUUUUUCAAGCGUUUUGGACUUGAGCAAACCCAACGCCUUUUCUUUUAAGAUCUGUUGCGGCGGGUUGCUUGAAAUGCAUGUUCAGCUGGACAAUCUCCUGAGCUAAAAGCAUAUUUAUUUAGUCCCGUCAAACGGAUUAUUACUUUUUGCUGCAGCUAACAUAAAGGGAGUUUUGACCAUUAUGGCUGACUGAUGGAGGAUUUCACAGAGAAAAGGCCGGAAACGGUUUUGUCUCUGUCAA